CAAUAGCGUAUAUUAAAGUUGUUGCAGUUAAAAAGCUCGUAGUUGGAUUUGUGGCGUACGGUGUGUUCCGGGCACUUGUUGUCUGAGUAACCUGCUGUUGCCAUCCUUGGGUGGAACCUGUGUGGCAUUAGGUUGUAGUGCAGGGGAUGCCCAUCAUUUACUGUGAAAAAAUUAGAGUGUUCAAAGCAGGCUUAUGCCGUUGAAUAUAUUAGCAUGGAAUAAUGAGAUAGGACUUUUUUGCUAUUUUGUUGGUUUGCGCAAGAAGGUAAUGAUUAAUAGGGACAGUUGGGGGUAUUCGUAUUCCAUUGUCAGAGGUGAAAUUCUUGGAUUUUUGGAAGACGAACUACUGCGAAAGCAUUUACCAAGGAUGUUUUCAUUAA
rnacentral:rRNA from 1 species